rnacentral:rRNA from 1 species
AUUGAACGCUGGCGGCAGGCCUAACACAUGCAAGUCGAGCGGCAGCACGGGUAUUUGUACCUGGCGGCGAGCGGCGGACGGGUGAGUAAUGCCUAGGAGUCUGCCUGGGAGUGGGGGGGAAAGUCCGGAAACGGGCGCUAAUACCGCAUACGUCCUAGGGGAGAAGCUGGGGGAUCUUCGGAUUCCACGCUAUUAGCUGAGCCUAGGUCGGAUUAGCUAGUUGGUGAGGUAAUGGCGCACCAAGGCGACGAUCCGUAACUGGUCUGGGAGGAUGAUCAGUCACACUGGAACUGAGACACGGUCCAGACUCCUACGGGAGGCAGCAGUGGGGAAUAUUGGACAAUGGGCGAAAGCCUGAUCCAGCCAUGCCGCGUGUGUGAAGAAGGUCUUCGGAUUGUAAAGCACUUUAAGUUGGGAGGAAGGGCAGUUACCUAAUACGUGAUUGUUUUGACGUUACCGACAGAAUAAGCACCGGCUAACUCUGUGCCAGCCGCCGCAGUAA